GUCAAGAAGGCUAGAGGGCUAUAUUCUUGGGGCAAUUGAAAAACCAGCAGAUGAGAACUCUAAGGAAGGUCAAAAGUGGAAGAUGACCAACGCAUUAGUGAGAGCAUGGCUGUUGAGUUCAGUUUCACCUAAAAUUGCUAAACAAGUGGAAAGGAUUAAGGAAGCAUCAGAAAUUUGGCGGCUGCUGAAAGGCACAUAUUCUGGAGUCGGCAAUGAGAUGCUUGCUUGUAGAAUUCAGAGGGAGUUGCAAGGGUUGAGUCAGGGUGAUAAAUCAGUUGUGGAGUAUGUGUCUGAGUUGAAGAGAUUGUGGAGUGACAUUGACUAUUUUGACCCAGUUGAGAUGGAGUGUGGCAAGUGUAUUGAGAAAUUUAACAAAUGGACUGAAAGGAGACGUGUAAGGGACUUCCUAAAUGGACUUCAUCCUAAGUUUGAAAACAGGAGGGCUGCACUCUAUGGUAGUGGAAAGCUGCCUACACUCGAGCAGGCAAUCUCAGCUAUCAUCAGUGAGGAAACUAGGUUGAAAUUAGAGGCAGCCAGUUCCGUGACACAAGGCAUCAUGCAUCGGCGAUCAGCACUCUAUGCAACAUAGGGUGGAAAUUAUCAAAAGCCGGUAUCAAACAUAGUGGAAAGGAAAUGCUUUGAGUGUGGUGAACCAGGACAUUUGAGGUCUUCAUGCCCUGAAUUAAUGGGAGCAGGUAGAGGAAGAGGGCAGGACUGGCGGGGAAGAGGGCGUGGUCGUGGGUUUGAAGGACGAGGUGGCCGCGGGCGAGGAACACGCCCUACUGGUAGAGCGAACACAUCUCUAAUCUCUGAAAAUACCACUCAAACCAUGAGCGUUCACAUGACUGCUGAGGAUUGGGAGAAGUGGUGUCAAUUCAAGGAGCUACAUUUAGGUGACAAGUCAACCGCUGAAGCACCUGCAACAUCUGCCUCUACGGCCUCUGCAAAUUUCGGUGGAACUUGGGACUGGAAGAAGACUUGGGACAGGGAGCAUGCAUGAUGGGUUGUAUUAUCUGGAUAAUAAUAUGUCUCCUGCGGUAGUAGCAGCUGCUAUACCUCUUUCACCACUUGAAGAAUUUCUUCUCCACCACCGCAGGCUAGGACAUAUGUCUUUUGUCACUCUCGGUCAACUUUAUCCUGAUCUCUAUAAGAAAGUUAGCAAGGGGUGUCUAGUAUGUGAUGCUUGUCAAUAUGGCAAACAGACACGUAGCUCUUACACAUCAUCUGAUAAUAGAAGUGACACACCACUUCAAGUUAUACAUUCUGAUGUGUGGGGUCCUAGUGGUGUUUCAUCUUUAAAUGGUUAUCGGUCGUUUGUUACCUUUAUUGACUGUUGUACUAGAGUCACUUGGGUUUA